GAUGAACGCUGGCGGCGUGCCUAAUACAUGCAAGUCGAGCGAACGGACGAGAAGCUUGCUUUUCUGAUGUUAGCGGCGGACGGGUGAGUAACACGUGGAUAACCUACCUAUAAGACUGGGAUAACUUCGGGAAACCGGAGCUAAUACCGGAUAAUAUUUUGAACCGCAUGGUUCAAAAGUGAAAGACGGUCUUGCUGUCACUUAUAGAUGGAUCCGCGCUGCAUUAGCUAGUUGGUAAGGUAACGGCUUACCAAGGCAACGAUGCAUAGCCGACCUGAGAGGGGGAUCGGCCACACUGGAGGGUGGACACGGUCCAGACUCCUACGGGAGGCAGCAGUAGGGAAUCUUCCGCAGUGGGGGAAAGCCUGACGGAGCAACGCCGCGUGAGUGAUGACGGUCUUCGGAUCGUAAAACUCUGUUAUUAGGGAAGAACAGAUGUGGAAGUAACUGUGCACAUCUUGACGGUACCUAAUCAGAAAGCCACGGCUAACUACGUG
rnacentral:rRNA from 1 species